rnacentral:rRNA from 1 species
GACGAACGCUGGCGGCGUGCUUAACACAUGCAAGUCGAACGGAAAGGCCCUGCUUUUGUGGGGUGCCCGAGUGGCGAACGGGUGAGUAACGCGUGAGUAACCUGCCCUUGACUUUGGGAUAACUUCAGGAAACUGGGGCUAAUACCGGAUAGGAGCUCCUGCUGCAUGGUGGGGGUUGGAAAGUUUCGGCGGUUGGGGAUGGACUCGCGGCUUAUCAGCUUGUUGGUGGGGUAGUGGCUUACCAAGGCUUUGACGGGUAGCCGGCCUGAGAGGGUGACCGGCCACAUUGGGACUGAGAUACGGCCCAGACUCCUACGGGAGGCAGCAGUGGGGAAUAUUGCACAAUGGGCGGAAGCCUGAUGCAGCAACGCCGCGUGCGGGAUGACGGCCUUCGGGUUGUAAACCGCUUUCGCCUGUGACGAAGCGUGAGUGACGGUAAUGGGUAAAGAAGCACCGGCUAACUACGUG